UUGGGCUCCUGAAAAGUUGGGGCCGAGGAAAAAUUGUUGGCACUGAAGCUGUUCUAAACGUUGGAGAAUGCGUCCACGGGUGGUCUUGGGUGACCAUGUUGCUGUACGGCGUACGGCCACUUCCACGUAACACGUAACGAUGGUUUCGGUUUCCGGUUUCGGUUUCGGCAGCCCUAGCACUUCUCAAUAUGGUGGAUCCCCGGUGCGCGAAUGUAAAAUGUAAAGGACGUAGGUUUGCUCGUUGCUCCUGGUCCAGUUGGCGUAAGUGGACUCCGUUCAAGCUUGUGAGGGUCUCGAUGCAGAGAUCGCAGAGCGCAGUACAGAUGGCGGAUGAAUGGGAUUGCGCCUGUGGAUGAUUCACUAUGGAGGACAACGUUUCUAUGCAGAUGGCCCGCCUGUUCACGUAUUUACACCUGGUCGACGGCCGCAAAAAUUAUUAGAUUGAAAAUACACAUAUAACUUCAAUAAAAAAAACAAAUUUGUAUACAGAUGCGGUCACAAUAAUAGCCAACCCAAGCUAAUAAGCUGAGAAUAUGGACAACAAAAUUCAGAAUUCUGUUACUUCUUACAAUAUCAAACUUACUUAUCUUUUAAGGCAUUGCACUAAGCAAUCUUAAAGUAGUCCCCGAUGAGAUUUUGUAUUGCCCAGUCGAGAGUGGGUAAUAAAUUAUGACAAAUUUAUGUCAAAUACCGAUUAUUCACGAUAGCGACUCCCUUACGUUCAAAAGGCAUGUUGGAUCUAUAAUUUACUGCUCCCAGAACACUUUUUUAAAAUUCGAAAAAUUGGCCAACCCAACGAAAACAUGAACGUUUAUCGUACAAUACUACCAGUUCCACAGGUAACAUAGCCUCAUAAUAGCAAUUAAGUUGUCUUCUUCCUCUUACCAAAUAAUAUGAAACACAUUAAGGAACAAAUAAUUCAAAAUUUAUUCGAGCUACAAGCAUUUUGUAAUUGAAAUGUUCUUAAUUAUACUUUAAUAUAUGCGUUACGCCUCUUGGGUGUACUUAUACUGAUAUGCAGGGCUUCGAAGCAAAGUUAUAAAGCUUGGGUAAUAGUCGAGUUUUGGCUUGAAGUGUAGUAGGUUGUAGAUCCUAAAUGGCGUCGGCUUUUUUUCGGUAAUGUCGGUACGUCGCAAGUUCCUGACUGACUUUCGGAUAUUGCAGAUACAAUGCAUAUCGAAUUUUGUUGGUCUGCGAAACUAAUUAUUAAUCUCAUCCUUUUUUUCCAGUCAUUCCGCUAACAUGUUUUAUCCUUACAAUCCCUGCUUAUCUUUAUGUUAAGGAGCUCCGGAAUACACUCGGCAAGUGCGUUAUAAGCUGCCUUUUUAGCAUCUUCGUAUGGCAGAGCUUAGGUUAUCUCGAAACUUGGUUCUCAAUACCCGCUCCCGUUAGAGAAGUUUCCUUCACCUUCUUUUUUGCACACAAUUUCUGGCUCUCAGUUGUGAUCUAUCAUUUAUGGAAGACCCCGUUUUCUGUUCCUGGCCUACAAUGUCUACGUGUGGGUUCCUACUGCGAUCCUACCUGGAGGCGCUGUGUUGAUAUCCAUUCUUUAUGGCAAUUUAAUGAAUAUAUAAGCUAACUUAAAAAAAGGUCGAUAAACAAGUUUUAAAAAGAAUAUUUUCUACUUUUUGAGUAAAUCGAAAACACUUUUGUUUUUCAUACCAUCUAUCUUUCCUUUAGAGGGGACAUAUUUUUGAUAUGGGCCUUCCUGACAUUACUAUAGUAAUGCGCACCGAAAUAUUUGUCGUCUUUUACACAAU